GGGGUCACCCAGCAGGGAGUGUGGUGAGGGGAGAUAGGCCUCCAUACCUUGGAGGGCCUGAGAUGUUCCCAGAGGGGUGGAGCCUAAGACCCAACCUGACAUUUAGACACAGACAAACAGAGUCUGACCCUUGACCCUGAGCGUGGAGGAGGUCAGACCAUGUCGGUGUGUCCGAACACAUGCUGGUGGCCAGGUUGGAACUGCUGCGUCCAGUCAAUGAUGACCGGUUUGAAGAGUCCACAACAGCGGAGCUGGAAGAACGACACCAGUUGCUCUGAUGAAGCCGGGGUCCGUCCUGCAGGUGCGGAGGUAGUAGUAGAGUAAAGCAGUGGCAUUCAGAGUGAACAGUACCUGUACUGUGGCACUAGGCUGAUGUGGAGUUUCAAGUUAAGAAGGUCUCUGUUCAGUUUGUCAUCA